rnacentral:tRNA from 1 species
GGGUCUGUAGUGAAAUGAUAUCAUAUCGGUCUCNAGAACCGCAGUUGGGGGUUUGAUUCCCUCCAGGCCCA